rnacentral:rRNA from 1 species
AUUGAACGCUGGCGGCAUGCCUUACACAUGCAAGUCGAACGGCAGCACGGGUGCUUGCACCUGGUGGCGAGUGGCGAACGGGUGAGUAAUACAUCGGAACAUGUCCUGUAGUGGGGGAUAGCCCGGCGAAAGCCGGAUUAAUACCGCAUACGAUCUACGGAUGAAAGCGGGGGCCCUUCGGGCCUCGCGCUUUCGGGUUGGCCGAUGGCUGAUUAGCUAGUUGGUGGGGUAAAGGCCUACCAAGGCGACGAUCAGUAGCUGGUCUGAGAGGACGACCAGCCACACUGGGACUGAGACACGGCCCAGACUCCUACGGGAGGCAGCAGUGGGGAAUUUUGGACAAUGGGCGAAAGCCUGAUCCAGCAAUGCCGCGUGUGUGAAGAAGGCCUUCGGGUUGUAAAGCACUUUUGUCCGGAAAGAAAUCCUUGGCCCUAAUACGGUCGGGGGAUGACGGUACCGGAAGAAUAAGCACCGGCUAACUACGUG